CCACGAUCCAGUGAGAACCACCAUACUCCAAUUAGCCCAGGAUCCAGUAAAAGACAUCAUUCUCCAAUUAUCCCAGAAUCCAGUGACAAUACCAAGAUCUGUGAAAGCCAUAAUUCUUUACUUAGCCAAUAUUCCAGUGAUUUUUCCAGAAUUAGCUCAGGAUCCAUCAUUCUCUAAUUAGCCCAGAAUCAUUUGAGAGCUAUUAGGUUCUAUUUAGCCCAUGAUUCAGUGAC